rnacentral:rRNA from 1 species
AGCAGCCGCGGUAAUUCCAGCUCCAAUAGCGUAUAUUAAAGUUGUUGCAGUUAAAAAAGCUCGUAGUUGAAUUUCGGGAUCAAAUUGUCGGUCGUGCCUCGGUACGCACUGGUAUUAUUGGUUCCUACCUUCUGAAGAACCGCGAUGUCAUUAAUUUGGUGUCGUGGGGAAUCAGGACUGUUACUUUGAAAAAAUUAGAGUGUUUAAAGCAGGCUUACGCUUGAAUACAUUAGCAUGGAAUAAUGAAAUAGGACGUUUUAUUCUAUUUUGUUGGUUUCUAGGAUUGACGUAAUGAUUAAUAGGGAUAGUUGGGGGACAUUAGUAUUCAAUUGUCAGAGGUGAAAUUCUUGGAUUUAUUGAGGACUAACUACUACGAAAGCAUUUGCCAAGGAUGUUUUCAUUAAUCAAGAACGAAAGUUAGGGGAUCGAAGACGAUCAGAUACCGUCGUAGUCUUAACCAUAAACUAUGCCGACUAGGGAUCGGAUGAUGUUAAUUUUUAAUGACUCAUUCGGCGCCUUA